rnacentral:rRNA from 1 species
GUAGCGGUGAAAUGCGUAGAGAUCUGGAGGAAUACCGGUGGCGAAGGCGGCCCCCUGGACGAAGACUGACGCUCAGGUGCGAAAGCGUGGGGAGCAAACAGGAUUAGAUACCCUGGUAGUCCACGCCGUAAACGAUGUCGACUUGGAGGUUGUGCCCUUGAGGCGUGGCUUCCGGAGCUAACGCGUUAAGUCGACCGCCUGGGGAGUACGGCCGCAAGGUUAAAACUCAAAUGAAUUGACGGGGGCCCGCACAAGCGGUGGAGCAUGUGGUUUAAUUCGAUGCAACGCGAAGAACC